GAUGAACGCUGGCGGCGUGCUUAACACAUGCAAGUCGAACGGAAAGGCUCCUGCUUGCAGGGGUACUCGAGUGGCGAACGGGUGAGUAACACGUGGGUGAUCUGCCCUGCACUUCGGGAUAAGCCUGGGAAACUGGGUCUAAUACCGGAUAGGACCACAUUUUGGAUGGUGUGGUGGAAAGUUUUUCGGUGUGGGAUGAGCUCGCGGCCUAUCAGCUUGUUGGUGGGGUAAUGGCCUACCAAGGCGUCGACGGGUAGCCGGCCUGAGAGGGUGUACGGCCACAUUGGGGCUGGGAUACGGCCCAGACUCCUACGGGAGGCAGCAGUGGGGAAUAUUGCACAAUGGGCGCCAGCCUGAUGCAGCGACGCCGCGUGGGGGAUGACGGCCUUCGGGUUGUAAACUCCUUUCGCUAGGGACGAAGCGUUUUUGUGACGGUACCUUGAGAAGAAGCACCGGCUAACUACGUG
rnacentral:rRNA from 1 species